GUACUAAUGACUAUUUUAGUACUUAACUUUAAGCUUGCUUAAUUAGAUGUUAAAACUAGUUUAGUGCUAAUCAUGUUUAAUUAUGAAUUAAACUUUGAUUAAGGUUAAGUGGGAUUAGUUAAUGACCUAAGCAUGCUUAUUAGGUUCUUAGGGACUAAUUAGGGUUAUGAAAACCUAAAGGACUAAUGGGCAAUUAUGGGUUUUAUUUUUUUAUAACUUGAAGGACUAAAGUGCAAUAUUUGAAAAUUAAGGUUAGUGGAAUGCCACCUCCUACUUGGGUGGAUUGGUGGCAGCCAUGUGGGCUGCCACCUCAUGCUUGGGUGCUUGGAGACCCUUUAUAAGGGGGGCUGCAGCUCGUUUUGCUCCAUUUCACCUGCAGCAACUUGGGUUAGAGAGAGAAACUAGAGAGAGAAAGUGUAGAUUUGAGUUCCUCGUAAUAGGCAAAGAUCGCCUACUUAGAAGAAACACAAAAAGGAAGUCGGUGUAAGGUAGGGAAUUUUAUGCUAUUCUAUGGUGUAUCUGAUUUCUUUCCUUGAAUUAUUUGUUGGAAUUUUAUGUUGUUUCUAUGAUUUCAUAAAAUCUUUUAAAGUGUCAUUGCAUCUCGGUUUAUUGCAUUGAAAUGUUACCAUGAUGCCAAAACGUAUAUUGGUAUGAAGAUUCGUGGUUUUGUGUUGUCGAAAUGGUUUAUGGUGUGAUUGCAUUGCAAGAAGGACAUGGAAUUAUCACAGAUCAUAUUCAGAGAAUUUAUUGGUGGCGAAGUGCUUAUGUGAUGCUACAGGCCUUAUCAUUUGUUAUAUUGUUUAUGUGGGACCGUGGGUCCUUGGGUGAAAGUCCCUAAAGCCCUCGAGGAAGACACUCCGAUGUGGGUGUAUGGGGUUGGUCCUGCCCCUGGGUUUUAGUCCCUAAAGACACGGGGUUGGUCCUGCCCUUGGGUAUGAGUCCCAAAAGACACGGGGUAUGACUUGCCCUUGGGUGAUGUCCCAGAAUAGUCAUUAUUAUAUUGAUCGAGUAUCUUAUGGAGCAUUGAUAUCUGCUGUGUAGAUUGUUGGGAGUCAGCAAAUUAUCAGUUGUGAAAGGAUGGAUGGGGAAAAGCAAUGAUGAAACCAACAAACACAUGCAUACAUGUUUGACAUGAUUACACAUUUGUUAAUUGUUAUGAAAUGUUUAUCAUGCAUGUUAUUAAACGUUUAAUUCAAGGUUUUUAAGGGUAUACUUAGGAUGGUUAUAAACUUUCCUACUGAGUUGUGAACUCACCCUAUUCCUUCCACCUAUAGAUGCAGGUCAGAAGACCUAUGCAGGAAAGAAUGCUUGAGCAAUGCUUUACUGUGAUUGGAUGCUGUUUGCUCAUAUUGAAAGUCUUUUGAGGCCAUGCCUUUUGUAUCAAGACUACACCUUUUGUUGGAAUGAUGUAAUGUAUAUAUUUGUUAGAUACACUUGUAGUAUGGGCUACCCGUAGUAAACAAUGGGGUUUGGUAUAUGUAAAUGAAUGUUGUACAAGUUUCUUUUGUGAAACAAAACAUAUUUUGUUAACUUAAUAGUCACAAUGUUUAAUACAGGAUGUACUCCUUAUAACAGGUUUUCCAUAUCCUCUUUUUGAACAAAUUCAAGUAGGAACUCAACAUUUAAGUUUUUGAGAGCA